rnacentral:rRNA from 1 species
AUGGAAACCCGACCCCCCACCUCCGGCCCUUCAGUCGACCCGGUGGAUCCCAUCCCCAUCCCGCUCGACACGCCGAUACACUUCUGGAUUCCCAUGGGGCGCGGCCCGGACGUCCUGCUGUCCGUCGAUGGGUCUGGGAAGACCUUGCGGAGCUGGCCGGACGGUCCUUGCGAGCGCCGGGCGACCAUGCCCGACGUCGCCACCUCCUUCGGCGAGGGCCCGCUCGUCCUCGUCGAGGUGGAUGUUGAUGGGAGUUACUUCACCAGAACCCACCUCCCCUGCUGCGCCUUCCGGUCGUGCCCUAGCUUGCAGGGGAUCAUCAACAGAGUCUGCUCCACCCUGGGCCGCCCCUUGCCCUUCUGCUAUCGGCCGCCGUAUCCGUGCGGGGACGACUUUAUGGCGUCAUUGGUGAACCCUCCUCGCCUUGGCGUCAUCGCCAAUUGCCUCUCCUCGCCAUGCAUGUUCACCCUGCACCUGCAUAAUUGGGGAAUCGUGUUUUACAUCAGGCUUGAUCUUGCCGGAUUGUACCACACGUAUCCUCAUGUGGCUGGUGGCCCAUUUCAGACCUUAGAGGAGGCCUACUCUGCGAUCCAUGCCGACCUUCAAGACCGACGGGAUCCCAGAAUGUUCAUGUGUCAGCCUAAUGAUUCUCAAGUGGAUUAUGUCAUACGCCAAUGUCUUCACUGGCCUGAUGGCACAAGGAAGAGGCGUUUGAAAUCAGAACCAAUUGAUGAAAUACGUGAUCACAAGCGCCAGUUGGUUCAAGCUUUGGUGGACAAGUAUAAUGAUUAUUUAGGGGAUACUGCAUAUGUACUCAAAGAUGUUGUGCAGUAUACAUCAGUUCGUUCGCCCGAUUGCCAAAAAAUUACCAAUCAUAUCAAUUUCACUGCAAGGGCUAAAGGAACUGAAGAUUCUGACUGUUCCAUGGAUGACCUAUUCUUUGCUGAAGUCACGUCUAUGAUGGGAGAUGACAAAUUAGUGGUCAGCUGUUUCUGCAGGGUUAAAACUACUGACAACGGUCGCUGCCAUGGUUGUACUGCAAAGCACCCCAAUGUUGCUGUAUACUUGCGUGGUGAAGCAGGCGCAUCUCCAUUUGGUGGACCUGUUAUAGCCCGUCAAGUUGUUGAGGAAGAUUUAGAAGCCGAGGAGAGAAGGGUCAGACUUUACUACGAGAACCUGGGCCUUGAUAAGCCAGGAUAUUUUGACGAACAGAGAGCAAUCAUGUCAGGAGGUUCGGUUAUGAAGGAAAACUAA